rnacentral:ncRNA from 1 species
AAGACGUCGAUCGACACCCGGACGAGCGCACCGUACCCGGCCAGCGACAAGACGGUGCAGG